rnacentral:rRNA from 1 species
AUGACCCAACUUUGUACUAACAAAGUUAGUACAAAGUUGGGUCAUCUAUUUUGGAACGGAGGGAGUAUGUUUGAAUGUCCAACCACCUACAUCUGUGAGCAUGCUGUUGGAAUGGUUGAUGGACUAUGUAAGAUAAAAAUUCUAACAGCCCCAACUUUCCUUUUGAGCAAAAUGGCAGCUGAUGAAAACUGGCUAUCACUGAAUUGUAUAGCUCCACCUGCAAGAAGUUCCUGCAAUUGGCGUACAAAUUCUUAUUUCAGCUUAAAUUUCUGCACUGCAAAAAUAAUUCAGCUUCAUGCCUUUAUUAUUUAUGCCAUAAGUAGAGCAGGAUUGCUCAGCAAGGAUGUCCACAAAGUCAAAAUCCGGCAGUGUAGGUGGAGUAACUUCUCCGUUUUGUUUACACUAAAUAUGUAUUGA